rnacentral:misc_RNA from 1 species
GAAAUGCGAUACGUAAUGUGAAUUGCAGAAUUCAGUGAAUCAUCGAAUCUUUGAACGCACCUUGCACUCUUUGGUAUUCCGAAGAGUAUGUCUGUUUGAGUGUCAUGAAACUCUCAACCCCCCUGUUUUGUAAUGAGAUAGGCGUGGGCUUGGAUUAUGGCUGUUUGCAGGACUUUAAUUAGACCGGCUCAGCUGAAAUACAUGAGCAAUCCAGCUUGAAUAUUAGCGGUUUGACUCGGCGUAAUAAUUAUUUCGCUGAGGACGCUUCAUAUCAUAACAGUGAUGCUUCUAAUGCGGCAGUGUUAAGUCACUACCUUUAAGCUUUAGACCUCAAAUCAGUCAGGACUACCCGCUGAACUUAA